AUUGAACGCUGGCGGCAUGCUUUACACAUGCAAGUCGAACGGUAACAGGCCUUCGGGCGCUGACGAGUGGCGAACGGGUGAGUAAUGCAUCGGAACGUGCCCAGUCGUGGGGGAUAACGCAGCGAAAGCUGUGCUAAUACCGCAUACGAUCUGCGGAUGAAAGCGGGGGACCUUCGGGCCUCGCGCUAUUGGAGCGGCCGAUGUCAGAGUAGGUAGUUGGUGGGGUAAAGGCUCACCAAGCCAACGAUCUGUAGCUGGUCUGAGAGGACGACCAGCCACACUGGGACUGAGACACGGCCCAGACUCCUACGGGAGGCAGCAGUGGGGAAUUUUGGACAAUGGGCGCAAGCCUGAUCCAGCAAUGCCGCGUGCAGGAAGAAGGCCUUCGGGUUGUAAACUGCUUUUGUACGGAGCGAAAAGGCUCCCUCUAAUACAGGGGGCUCAUGACGGUACCGUAAGAAUAAGCACCGGCUAACUACGUGCCAGCAGCCGCCGUAAUAC
rnacentral:rRNA from 1 species